UGGGGAAUUUUGGACAAUGGGCGCAAGCCUGAUCCAGCCAUGCCGCGUGCGGGAAGAAGGCCUUCGGGUUGUAAACCGCUUUUGUCAGGGAAGAAAUCUUCUGAGUUAAUACCUCGGGAGGAUGACGGUACCUGAAGAAUAAGCACCGGCUAACUACGUGCCAGCAGCCGCGGUAAUACGUAGGGUGCAAGCGUUAAUCGGAAUUACUGGGCGCAAAGCGUGCGCAGGCGGUUUUGUAAGACAGAGGUGAAAUCCCCGGGCUCAACCUGGGAACUGCCUUUGUGACUGCAAGGCUUGAGUGCGGCAGAGGGGGGAUGGAAUUCCGCGUGUAGCAGUGAAAUGCGUAGAUAUGCGGAGGAACACCGAUGGCGAAGGCAAUCCCCUGGGCCUGCACUGACGCUCAUGCACGAAAGCGUGGGGAGCAAACAGGAUUAGAUACCCUGGUAGUCCACGCCCUAAACGAUGUCAACUGGUUGUUGGGAAGGUUCCUUCUCAGUAACGUAGCUAACGCGUGAAGUUGACCGCCUGGGGAGUACGGCCGCAAGGUUGAAACUCAAA
rnacentral:rRNA from 1 species